GAUGAACCCGACGGUCGUACGUAUUUUUAGAAAACGCCGAUAAUUGCCACAACUAAUGUCAAAGUAGUCCAACUGCGACUACUAUAAAAACUUACGAGCACGAUCGGAAAAUUGCAGUUCCAUUUGAAACAUUGCAAGAUGCAGUUCUGUCUGAUUAUAGUCCUGGCCGUACCGAGCCUGACUAAUGCCGUACCCACUAACGUACCAACGGAGUCAGAUUCAGAAUCGGAAAAGAUUCAUUUUUGAAAAUUUCUAGAAUCAUUCGCUGAAAUUAGGACGGGACUUUAUGGAGUUAUCUUGGGACACAACUUGGACUAUAUGGCUAAAGCAAACCGACGCAUAGUCGAAGAGGCAGCCCGAUUGAAGGAGAGCCUAAGUGAGGAAACUGUGGCCACAGAGCAACUACUCUUCGAUGACAUUGAUAAAUUUAAAAAAUCACAGAAAAGGGGCACUUAAUAAGCAACCUUGAACCUAAGAUCAAAGCCAAAUAUCAGUGUUGAAAAAUAGGAAUGGCUAUUGAAAAUUCAAAGAUUAUGAUUCAUAUCUAUUCUAUUAUUGUAUCAUUUUGUUUCCUGCAAAACACACAACAAAUUUUAAUCAGUUUUCACAGUAAUGGAGCACUGAACACUGCUGGUCGAAUGUUCUACAAAGUUAAAAUAUUUCGUUCCAGAGGUUUUUAUCUAAUAAUUCCUUUGCGUUGGGAAAUUUUGAAAGACUGUUAAAAUUUUUAAAGUUUGCAAAAUUAGUAAGCUCAAUGAAAUAUUAUUAAUUACAUCAAC